ACUAAAUUUCAGAAGAGUGGCUAAACCACCGUCACCCAGAAUGCACCUCUCCGGGUGCACACACCCUGAACAGGGCCGAGGCCUCAAAUCUCAGUCCAACCGCACGGCACUGGGCCGAAUCCAGAAGCCACAGACUUCUGCUCCAGGCGAUAAACAACUAUAGCCUCCAGAAUCCUACUGAACGAACGCCACUUCCUUCCUCCCUGCAACAACAAGCAGAGAACCUAGACACCGGACGACACACAAGUUUAUUCUUUCAAGUCGCUUUCUGAUUUGCUUUCUUUACAUGUGCCACACACGCUGGACCACACAACAUCAACUACAUUUUACAGCAGUCAUCCAGUGGCUUCAGUGUAGGCUACACUUGGCAGAAGAACACAGAGCAACUGUAACCAGCACAAAAUGAGACUGACGAAGAAUCAGCCAGGUUACAGCCCAAUAAGCAGGUGGAGUGUGUGUAAGGCUGGGGAGGGCCUAGCAACGGGUCAAAAAAUAAAAGAAGCAGAUUGAA